GGGGCAGUAGCUCAGUUGGUCAGAGCGGUGGUCUCCAAAACCAUAGGUCGGGGGUUCGAAUCCUCCCUGCCCCG
rnacentral:tRNA from 1 species